CUUUAAUCUCUUCCUUAGCCUUGCUAGUCACCAUUGCAGAGCACCAUGGAGAGGCUUACCUGAAAACUCUUCUCGUGGGGCAGGCACAUCCUCACACACCUGUGACCCCAUCCUUGAAUAAAAGCUGGUAGCUGGUCACUCAUCAGAGUGUUUUAACCCAUAUCUAGCCCAUGACUCUGCCGUUUUUCAAACUUACGUUCUCAUGUUCUAUGCAGAUCUAUGGGAAUUCUUUCCUUGAAGCUCCUGAUCACACAACCAUACUGGCAGUCGGCUUACCCACUACCUUCUGCUCACCCGCUUGCAACUCAUGUUGUCAUUCUCCCAGACUUCUGGUUGUUUCUCCACCAUUCUGCUGUCUCCCGUCUGCACUACAAUUUCAGACUGGCCUUCUGAUCUUUAAACACUAAAACCUGUGGCUCCAUCUCUGUGGCGUUUCUCAGUCUCUAAGCUUCUGGUUCCUGAUCUCCAGCAGUUACCUCUUCAGUCAUCUGUCAAACAUUUUAAUAAACUGUUUUUAGCUCAUUUGUCUCCUGAGUUUCUCUGCAUGAAGGUCAGGUUAUUGCAAAAAUCAUGACAUCAGCAAUUACUUUGCACCACUCUGUUAAACAGCUGAUAUUAAU